AACUGCUGGCUAAGGUCCCUCCCUCCUAGUGGGCUGAUCAUGCCAACCAUGCUGGCACUGGGUCUGGCAGCCUCCUGGCGAAUGCCUGGAGUGGCUCAGCAAUUCUUGGUGCCAUGACUUGGAUCCACAGCAUACCACCGGACCGAAGGACCGUGGACCGAUCUCCACUGAACCCGGGCACCAUCUGAAAGGUACAAAGUGCUCUGCCUGAACCAGCUGACAUGCUGUGCCACCCACUGCAGCCUGGAGACUGGGUUUACAAUAAGGUACUCCAGAGAAAGACUUCCCUGCAGCCUCGCUGCAAAGGCCUCUACCAGCUCCUGUUGACCACCCACACAGUGGUCAAAUGCAAGGGACUCGUCAGCUGGAUCCACACCUCCCACUGCAAACAGACAACGCUGCCUCUGAACUCAGAAGCUAAAGAAUUCCAUCUGGCAGACC